rnacentral:rRNA from 1 species
AUUUUUAUGGAGAGUUUGAUCCUGGCUCAGGAUGAACGCUGGCGGCGUGCCUAAUACAUGCAAGUCGAGCGAACGGACGAGAAGCUUGCUUCUCUGAUGUUAGCGGCGGACGGGUGAGUAACACGUGGAUAACCUACCUAUAAGACUGGGAUAACUUCGGGAAACCGGAGCUAAUACCGGAUAAUAUUUUGAACCGCAUGGUUCAAAAGUGAAAGACGGUCUUGCUGUCACUUAUAGAUGGAUCCGCGCUGCAUUAGCUAGUUGGUAAGGUAACGGCUUACCAAGGCAACGAUGCAUAGCCGACCUGAGAGGGUGAUCGGCCACACUGGAACUGAGACACGGUCCAGACUCCUACGGGAGGCAGCAGUAGGGAAUCUUCCGCAAUGGGCGAAAGCCUGACGGAGCAACGCCGCGUGAGUGAUGAAGGUCUUCGGAUCGUAAAACUCUGUUAUUAGGGAAGAACAUAUGUGUAAGUAACUGUGCACAUCUUGACGGUACCUAAUCAGAAAGCCACGGCUAACUACGUGCCAGCAGCCGCGGUAAUACGUAGGUGGCAAGCGUUAUCCGGAAUUAUUGGGCGUAAAGCGCGCGUAGGCGGUUUUUUAAGUCUGAUGUGAAAGCCCACGGCUCAACCGUGGAGGGUCAUUGGAAACUGGAAAACUUGAGUGCAGAAGAGGAAAGUGGAAUUCCAUGUGUAGCGGUGAAAUGCGCAGAGAUAUGGAGGAACACCAGUGGCGAAGGCGACUUUCUGGUCUGUAACUGACGCUGAUGUGCGAAAGCGUGGGGAUCAAACAGGAUUAGAUACCCUGGUAGUCCACGCCGUAAACGAUGAGUGCUAAGUGUUAGGGGGUUUCCGCCCCUUAGUGCUGCAGCUAACGCAUUAAGCACUCCGCCUGGGGAGUACGACCGCAAGGUUGAAACUCAAAGGAAUUGACGGGGACCCGCACAAGCGGUGGAGCAUGUGGUUUAAUUCGAAGCAACGCGAAGAACCUUACCAAAUCUUGACAUCCUUUGACAACUCUAGAGAUAGAGCCUUCCCCUUCGGGGGACAAAGUGACAGGUGGUGCAUGGUUGUCGUCAGCUCGUGUCGUGAGAUGUUGGGUUAAGUCCCGCAACGAGCGCAACCCUUAAGCUUAGUUGCCAUCAUUAAGUUGGGCACUCUAAGUUGACUGCCGGUGACAAACCGGAGGAAGGUGGGGAUGACGUCAAAUCAUCAUGCCCCUUAUGAUUUGGGCUACACACGUGCUACAAUGGACAAUACAAAGGGCAGCGAAACCGCAAGGUCAAGCAAAUCCCAUAAAGUUGUUCUCAGUUCGGAUUGUAGUCUGCAACUCGACUACAUGAAGCUGGAAUCGCUAGUAAUCGUAGAUCAGCAUGCUACGGUGAAUACGUUCCCGGGUCUUGUACACACCGCCCGUCACACCACGAGAGUUUGUAACACCCGAAGCCGGUGGAGUAACCUUUUAGGAGCUAGCCGUCGAAGGUGGGACAAAUGAUUGGGGUGAAGUCGUAACAAGGUAGCCGUAUCGGAAGGUGCGGCUGGAUCACCUCCUUU